rnacentral:rRNA from 2 species
CAUGCGCUAGUAGGUCGUGGGAGGUUGAUCCCUUUCGUGAGCGGGUCAGGGGUGAGUAACACGUGGGUGACCUGCCUGUAAGACUGGGAUAACUCCGGGAAACCGGGGCUAAUACCGGAUGCUUGAUUGAACCGCAUGGUUCAAUUAUAAAAGGUGGCUUUCAGCUACCACUUGCAGAUGGACCCGCGGCGCAUUAGCUAGUUGGUGAGGUAACGGCUCACCAAGGCGACGAUGCGUAGCCGACCUGAGAGGGUGAUCGGCCACACUGGGACUGAGACACGGCCCAGACUCCUACGGGAGGCAGCAGUAGGGAAUCUUCCGCAAUGGACGAAAGUCUGACGGAGCAACGCCGCGUGAGUGAUGAAGGUUUUCGGAUCGUAAAACUCUGUUGUUAGGGAAGAACAAGUACCGUUCGAAUAGGGCGGUACCUUGACGGUACCUAACCAGAAAGCCACGGCUAACUACGUGCCAGCAGCCGCGGUAAUACGUAGGUGGCAAGCGUUGUCCGGAAUUAUUGGGCGUAAAGCGCGCGCAGGCGGUUUCUUAAGUCUGAUGUGAAAGCCCCCGGCUCAACCGGGGAGGGUCAUUGGAAACUGGGGAACUUGAGUGCAGAAGAGGAGAGUGGAAUUCCACGUGUAGCGGUGAAAUGCGUAGAGAUGUGGAGGAACACCAGUGGCGAAGGCGACUCUCUGGUCUGUAACUGACGCUGAGGCGCGAAAGCGUGGGGAGCGAACAGGAUUAGAUACCCUGGUAGUCCACGCCGUAAACGAUGAGUGCUAAGUGUUAGAGGGUUUCCGCCCUUUAGUGCUGCAGCAAACGCAUUAAGCACUCCGCCUGGGGAGUACGGUCGCAAGACUGAAACUCAAGGAAUUGACGGGGGCCCGCACAAGCGGUGGAGCAUUGUGGAUUUAAUUCGAGCAGCGCGAGAGCGUUACAGUUCUUGACAUCUCUGACAGCCUUAGAGAUAGGGCUACCCUUCGGGGUCAGACCUGACAGCGGGGCCAUGUUGUCGUCAGCUCGGUCGUGGAGAUGUGGGUAGUUCCGCCACGAGCGCCAAGCU